GGGGUAUGAGAAAAGACAAAGGGAUGCUUAAGGGACAAGACGCAUUAAUCGGCAGUCGUUGACUAGGAGUCGGGUUGUGAGGAAUCGAGAGUCGAGUUGUCAAUUUGUUAUGAGUUAUAAACUAUUAGUUCGACAUUUUCGGCUUGAAGAUUCUAAAAAAUUAUAAGGACACGGACAGACAUGUUAAAAAGAGUAUCUAAUAAUGGUACAUUUAUUUUAACACUUUGACUACCACGUCGAAAUCACAUGUUUCGCUCAGGACGACCAGGAAGUAUUUUUAUUAUUCAAAGCACAUAAUGGCAAAAUAAUAAUAAAUUGAUGAUAUAAGACAACAUUUUUCCCCAAUGGACCGUUUAUCUUAUUGGUGGUCACGAGUGACCACCGUGGCGCCUUGGUAACAGUUCAUAGCGACGUAUUAUAACAAGGCUUCGCUUAUUUCAACAAACCAUUCGCAUUUGGUAUUUCGUCGUAAGCAAAACGUGCAGAAUAU
rnacentral:misc_RNA from 1 species